UUAACAAAUUCUCAAAUCCAAAUUCUCAAAUAAAAUCAAUUAACAAAUUAAAAUCUCAAACCAAAUCAAUUAACAAAUUCUCAAAUCCAUAUCUCAAAUGAUCCCAACCCAUAUUUCAAAUCAGCCGAUAGAAAUAAAAUUUAAAUAAACUGAAUACUGAGAACACCCAAAAAAAGCCACAAUCGCCAUCAAAACAGUGAAGACACCAAGGAGUGGACACUGUCGACUGGAGAAGGGAAGUGAGGUCUUACAACUUGCAAAGGCUGCGACUGCUUGGCUGAUGACGGACAACGACAGCAUCACGACAAGGCAAAGGCAUGGUUGUGAGUAACUAAAGAUUUUAGGGUUCGUUAAGGCUUCAUCUAGCUAGCUUUUGGUCUAGGGUUGAGGUUGAGGGAACGAUGGCAAGGAGGGUAGAACGAACGAAAAGCAAAGAAGGAGGGCAGAAGGAAGGGAAAGGAAGAGGUAAGUCUUCUUUGCAUGUGAGAGCUUUGGAGAAUGGAAGCCAUAAUCUGAUGAGAGUGUGAAAUGAAAGGGAAAAGUGAGGCAGGGAAGGGAAAUUA
rnacentral:misc_RNA from 1 species